UACGAAGGGGGCUAGCGUUGCUCGGAAUCACUGGGCGUAAAGCGCACGUAGGCGGCUUUGUAAGUUAGAGGUGAAAGCCCAGGGCUCAACCCUGGAAUUGCCUUUAAGACUGCAUCGCUUGAACAUCGGAGAGGUAAGUGGAAUUCCGAGUGUAGAGGUGAAAUUCGUAGAUAUUCGGAAGAACACCAGUGGCGAAGGCGACUUACUGGACGAUUGUUGACGCUGAGGUGCGAAAGCGUGGGGAGCAAACAGG
rnacentral:rRNA from 1 species